GUCGACAAUACUUCAGAGAAUCAUUUCUAUAGUAUUCGACCUUCUCUUGGUUCCCUAAAAGAGCCACAGAUCCCACCCUGGUUGAUGAGUGUAUAUCCUCGACACCCUAGAGUGAAUACCUUGGUCCUCUCGCCCUGUCCGCAAGGAUGGCGGUAACUGUCUUGUGCAGCUGCUGUAUAGAGAGUUUGUUUCCUCUUGAUGAUCUCGACCCCAGCCGUGGUCUGCCUUCGGGCGCAUAGCUGGGGUGGGUGUUGAUGGACGUCUGACAGGC
rfam:Fusarium poae strain 2516 chromosome FPOA_2 Chr2, whole genome shotgun sequence.